UAUGGCCUCCGUUUAACGGCGACGCGCACACAAUAAGCGCCACGCUACUAUUGGUCAAUCCCAUCGGUGAGGAUAGUUUCGUCGACGGCAGUACAGCAGUUCCGCCAUGCUGUUGGCUUACAAUAUCAUAAUUCAACAUUUGAGCGCAUAAAACACGGCCUUUUAGAGCAUACUCAUGCUAUGUAAGCCCUUAAACAGAUGGAGAUUGUCACUAAGAAAAUGAAGAGUCAUCAGGGAAGGCUUGCCACAGACCCACACUGAUGUAGACUUGAGUCAACCAGGCGAACUGAGUUGCAUUUGCUUAUGAGGUAACAAGGACACAGAAAACAUAUUCUUAACAAAAGAUACACGAACUAAGAUCUUGGAACAAAGUCAAGGAUAGGUUCCACUUCUCGCUUCUUGCAGGUAUGAAUGUAUGGAAAGGAUGGAGCUUAUAUUACAUUGUUUGUCUAAUUGCGUAUUUAAAGUAACAUAAUUUUUCCUGUGCUAUGUUGAUAUUAGAAGAUAUGGAACAUAUAUUGUAUGCAAUUGAGGCUAUUUAUCUUUGUUGUAUAAUACCGUCUGCAACAAUAUGACAUCCAUCUUCAUUCUUAUUUAGAUCACAAUUUUUACAACUUCUUGGCUGCACAGGAGUCUGUAAUGUGCACCUUUUAGUUUUUAGACAUUGAUUUUUUGUGAAGUAUCUGGAGAUUUGUGAUGGAUUUUCUAUGUCAUGUUAUAUAUUUAUUAUUUUGUGCACAAUUCUCCUAGCCUAGGUCGUACUCUGUAUGUUUGUAAUUUGUUGCACAUGACAAUGACAAUGUGAGACAUUUGGCUACUGUUAUGUGAAAUGAUAAUAUCCAAAGUGUACAUGUAAAUAUGUUCAGGUUGACUUCUUUUCUGUUAGCAGUGGAAAA